CAACCUCACACAAUACAAGCCGCGGAGAUACAAUAUUUUAUUUAAAACUCAAGUAUCAAAUAAUAGGAAAUGUAUUAAUAUUACUGUAGAUAUUAGAUGGAGAAUGGACUGGUGUAGCUGAAAAAUUAAUUAAUCUUUCAAUGUCAAAACUUCAAAUGGAAAUAAUAGACCUACAGGAAGAUGUUUCAUUGAAGCAGUACAGAAGUGCGAUAACUGAAGAAUUCUGGACUAAGGAUGACAUUAACAAGUAUUCAAACUGUAAGCAACUGGCAAUCAACUUGGCUACGAUGUUUGUUCAACAUACGUUUAUGAGAGGCAUCAUUUUCAAAAAUUAAUUUUUGAAAAACAAAUAUCGGACAAAAUUAACACUUUCACCUUGAGGAAACAUUACGCAUAUGCUAGAAAUACAAUUUUUCGCAUUCAAUUUCUUGGUAAACUAUUAUUAUUAUUAUUAUAAAAAAUUAUCAUUAUUUACCUAAUAUUGUAAUUAGAAUAAUCUAAAAUCUAAAUGACUGUAAUAACUAGAUAAUUUUUUUACUUUCAUACUCCUAGAAUUGUAAUUUUUAAUAAAAAUUAAUUGUAAUAACUAAAUAA